GACAGAGGAUGCAAGCGUUAUCCGGAAUGAUUGGGCGUAAAGCGCACGUAGGCGGCCUGAUAAGUCGGUAGUGAAAGCCCUCGGCUUAACCGAGGAAGUGCUAUCGAAACUGCCAGGCUUGAGUACCGGAGAGGAUCGCGGAAUUCCCGGUGUAGAGGUGAAAUUCGUAGAUAUCGGGAGGAACACCAGUGGCGAAGGCGGCGAUCUGGACGGAUACUGACGCUGAGGUGCGAAAGCGUGGGGAGCAAACAGG
rnacentral:rRNA from 1 species